GACGAACGCUGGCGGCGUGCUUAACACAUGCAAGUCGAACGGUAAGGCCCUUCGGGGUACACGAGUGGCGAACGGGUGAGUAACACGUGGGUGAUCUGCCCUGCACUUCGGGAUAAGCCUGGGAAACUGGGUCUAAUACCGGAUAGGACCACUGCCUGCAUGGGUGGUGGUGGAAAGCUUUUGCGGUGUGGGAUGGGCCCGCGGCCUAUCAGCUUGUUGGUGGGGUGAUGGCCUACCAAGGCGACGACGGGUAGCCGGCCUGAGAGGGUGACCGGCCACACUGGGACUGGGAUACGGCCCAGACGCCUACGGGAGGCAGCGGUGGGAAUAUUGCACAAUGGGCGCAAGCCUGAUGCAGCGACGCCGCGUGAGGGAUGACGGCCUUCGGGUUGUAAACCUCUUUCAGCACCGACGAAGCGCAAGUGACGGUAGGUGCAGAAGAAGGACCGGCCAACUACGUGCCAGCCGCCGCCGUAA
rnacentral:rRNA from 1 species